rnacentral:rRNA from 1 species
GGUUAAGCGACUAAGCGUACACGGUGGAUGCCCUGGCAGUCAGAGGCGAUGAAGGACGUGCUAAUCUGCGAAAAGCGUCGGUAAGGUGAUAUGAACCGUUAUAACCGGCGAUGUCCGAAUGGGGAAACCCAGUGUGAUUCGUCACACUAUCGUUAACUGAAUACAUAGGUUAACGAGGCGAACCGGGGGAACUGAAACAUCUAAGUACCCCGAGGAAAAGAAAUCAACCGAGAUUCCCCCAGUAGCGGCGAGCGAACGGGGAGCAGCCCAGAGUCUGAAUCAGCUUGUGUGUUAGUGGAACGGUCUGGAAAGUCCGACGGUACAGGGUGAUAGUCCCGUACACCAAAAUGCACAGGUUGUGAACUCGAAGAGUAGGGCGGGACACGUGGUAUCCUGUCUGAAUAUGGGGGGACCAUCCUCCAAGGCUAAAUACUCCUGACUGACCGAUAGUGAACCAGUACCGUGAGGGAAAGGCGAAAAGAACCCCGGCGAGGGGAGUGAAAAAGAACCUGAAACCGUGUACGUACAAGCAGUGGGAGCACCUUCGGGUGUGACUGCGUACCUUUUGUAUAAUGGGUCAGCGACUUAUAUUCUGUAGCAAGGUUAACCGUAUAGGGGAGCCGCAGGGAAACCGAGUCUUAACUGGGCGUUAAGUUGCAGGGUAUAGACCCGAAACCCGGUGAUCUAGCCAUGGGCAGGUUGAAGGUUGGGUAACACUAACUGGAGGACCGAACCGACUAAUGUUGAAAAAUUAGCGGAUGACUUGUGGCUGGGGGUGAAAGGCCAAUCAAACCGGGAGAUAGCUGGUUCUCCCCGAAAGCUAUUUAGGUAGCGCCUCGUGAACUCAUCUUCGGGGGUAGAGCACUGUUUCGGCUAGGGGGUCAUCCCGACUUACCAACCCGAUGCAAACUACGAAUACCGAAGAAUGUUAUCACGGGAGACACACGGCGGGUGCUAACGUCCGUCGUGAAGAGGGAAACAACCCAGACCGCCAGCUAAGGUCCCAAAGUCAUGGUUAAGUGGGAAACGAUGUGGGAAGGCACAGACAGCCAGGAUGUUGGCUUAGAAGCAGCCAUCAUUUAAAGAAAGCGUAAUAGCUCACUGGUCGAGUCGGCCUGCGCGGAAGAUGUAACGGGGCUAAACCAUGCACCGAAGCUGCGGCAGCGACACUAUGUGUUGUUGGGUAGGGGAGCGUUCUGUAAGCCUGCGAAGGUGUGCUGUGAGGCAUGCUGGAGGUAUCAGAAGUGCGAAUGCUGACAUAAGUAACGAUAAAGCGGGUGAAAAGCCCGCUCGCCGGAAGACCAAGGGUUCCUGUCCAACGUUAAUCGGGGCAGGGUGAGUCGACCCCUAAGGCGAGGCCGAAAGGCGUAGUCGAUGGGAAACAGGUUAAUAUUCCUGUACUUGGUGUUACUGCGAAGGGGGGACGGAGAAGGCUAUGUUAGCCGGGCGACGGUUGUCCCGGUUUAAGCAUGUAGGCUGGUUGUCCAGGCAAAUCCGGAUAAUCAAGGCUGAGGUGUGAUGACGAGGCACUACGGUGCUGAAGUAACAAAUGCCCUGCUUCCAGGAAAAGCCUCUAAGCAUCAGGUAACAUCAAAUCGUACCCCAAACCGACACAGGUGGUCAGGUAGAGAAUACCAAGGCGCUUGAGAGAACUCGGGUGAAGGAACUAGGCAAAAUGGUGCCGUAACUUCGGGAGAAGGCACGCUGGUGUGUAGGUGAAGCCCCUGCGGGUGGAGCUGAGACCAGUCGAAGAUACCAGCUGGCUGCAACUGUUUAUUAAAAACACAGCACUGUGCAAACACGAAAGUGGACGUAUACGGUGUGACGCCUGCCCGGUGCCGGAAGGUUAAUUGAUGGGGUUAUCCGUAAGGAGAAGCUCUUGAUCGAAGCCCCGGUAAACGGCGGCCGUAACUAUAACGGUCCUAAGGUAGCGAAAUUCCUUGUCGGGUAAGUUCCGACCUGCACGAAUGGCGUAAUGAUGGCCAGGCUGUCUCCACCCGAGACUCAGUGAAAUUGAACUCGCUGUGAAGAUGCAGUGUACCCGCGGCAAGACGGAAAGACCCCGUGAACCUUUACUAUAGCUUGACACUGAACAUUGAGCCUUGAUGUGUAGGAUAGGUGGGAGGCUUUGAAGCGUGGACGCCAGUCUGCGUGGAGCCAACCUUGAAAUACCACCCUUUAAUGUUUGAUGUUCUAACGUUGGCCCCUGACCGGGGUUGCGGACAGUGUCUGGUGGGUAGUUUGACUGGGGCGGUCUCCUCCCAAAGCGUAACGGAGGAGCACGAAGGUUAGCUAAUCCUGGUCGGACAUCAGGAGGUUAGUGCAAUGGCAUAAGCUAGCUUGACUGCGAGCGUGACGGCGCGAGCAGGUGCGAAAGCAGGUCAUAGUGAUCCGGUGGUUCUGAAUGGAAGGGCCAUCGCUCAACGGAUAAAAGGUACUCCGGGGAUAACAGGCUGAUACCGCCCAAGAGUUCAUAUCGACGGCGGUGUUUGGCACCUCGAUGUCGGCUCAUCACAUCCUGGGGCUGAAGUAGGUCCCAAGGGUAUGGCUGUUCGCCAUUUAAAGUGGUACGCGAGCUGGGUUUAGAACGUCGUGAGACAGUUCGGUCCCUAUCUGCCGUGGGCGCUGGAGAAUUGAGGGGGGCUGCUCCUAGUACGAGAGGACCGGAGUGGACGCAUCACUGGUGUUCGGGUUGUCAUGCCAAUGGCACUGCCCGGUAGCUAAAUGCGGAAGAGAUAAGUGCUGAAAGCAUCUAAGCACGAAACUUGCCCCGAGAUGAGUUCUCCCUGAGACUUUAAGUCUCCUGAAGGAACGUUGAAGACGACGACGUUGAUAGGCCGGGUGUGUAAGCGCAGCGAUGCGUUGAGCUAACCGGUACUAAUGAACCGUGAGGCUUAACCUU